rnacentral:ncRNA from 1 species
UUAUCAAGGGGUGCCCGUUUUUCGGCGGGCUGAGAACAAACCCUUCAUACCUGAUGCGGGUAAUACCGACGUAGGGAUGAUAA